UAGGGCUAGCCUCAAGUGAUGAUUAUUGGAGGUAGAGCACUGUUUGGACGAGGGGCCCCUCUCGGGUUACCGAAUUCAGACAAACUCCGAAUGCCAAUUAAUUUAACUUGGGAGUCAGAACAUGGGUGAUAAGGUCCGUGUUCGAAAGGGAAACAGCCCAGACCACCAGCUAAGGUCCCAAAAUAUAUGUUAAGUGGAAAAGGAUGUGGCGUUGCCCAGACAACUAGGAUGUUGGCUUAGAAGCAGCCAUCAUUUAAAGAGUGCGUAAUAGCUCACUAGUCGAGUGACACUGCGCCGAAAAUGUACCGGGGCUAAACAUAUUACCGAAGCUGUGGAUUGUCCUUUGGACAAUGGUAGGAGAGCGUUCUAAGGGCGUUGAAGCAUGAUCGUAAGGACAUGUGGAGCGCUUAGAAGUGAGAAUGCCGGUGUGAGUAGCGAAAGACGGGUGAGAAUCCCGUCCACCGAUUGACUAAGGUUUCCAGAGGAAGGCUCGUCCGCUCUGGGUUAGUCGGGUCCUAAGCUGAGGCCGACAGGCGUAGGCGAUGGAUAACAGGUUGAUAUUCCUGUACCACCUAUAAUCGUUUUAAUCGAUGGGGGGACGCAGUAGGAUAGGCGAAGCGUGCGAUUGGAUUGCACGUCUAAGCAGUAAGGCUGAGUAUUAGGCAAAUCCGGUACUCGUUAAGGCUGAGCUGUGAUGGGGAGAAGACAUUGUGUCUUCGAGUCGUUGAUUUCACACUGCCGAGAAAAGCCUCUAGAUAGAAAAUAGGUGCCCGUACCGCAAACCGACACAGGUAGUCAAGAUGAGAAUUCUAAG
rnacentral:rRNA from 1 species